rnacentral:tRNA from 1 species
GUCUGGAUGGCCGAGUGGUCUAAGGCGUGAGGUUCAAGUAAAUGUGAGCAUUCAUGUCAUCAUGAGGUGUGAUGACUCUGAAAACUUGCUAUCUAUGUGAUGGUGACCUUUCUCAUGGGUUCUGCCCGCGUGGGUUCGAACCCCACUCCAGACA